GUAGUUAUGGCCAAGUGGUUAAGGCGAUGGAUUAGAAAUCCAUCGGGGUGUCCCCGCGCAGUUUCGAAUCCUGCCGACUAUG